GGAUCGAGGAGGGAAGGGACGAAUCGAAGCGACAAAGGGCUGAAUCUCAGUGGAUCGUGGCAGCAAGGCCACUCUGCCACUUACAAUACCCCGUCGCGUUUUUAAGUCGUCUGCAAAGGAUUCUACCCGCCGCUCGGUGGAAUUACGCUCCAAGGAGGCGGCAGCGGCGGAGUUCCGGGCCAAGUCCCUGGAAAGGGGCGCCGGAGAGGGUGGAGCCCCGUCGUGCCCGACCCUGUCGCACCACGCAGGCGCUGUCUACGAGGUCGGGUUGUUGGGAAUGCAAGCCCUAAUCUGGCGGUAAAUUCCGUCAAAGGCUAAAACGGGCGAGAAGACCGAUAGGAACAAGUACCGCCGGCUUAGUGCGGAAAGAUGAAAAGGAUUUGGAAAAAGAGAGUCUAAAGAGUGCUUGAAAUUGUCGGGAGGGAAGCGGAUGGGGGCUGGCGAUGCCGCCCCGGAUCGGAUGUGAGAACGGCGAAGCCGGUCCGCGAUCGCUCGGGGCGGUGGACCGAUCGCGGGUCGUGCGGCGGCCCAAAGCCCGGGCCUCUUGAUACGCCCGUGGGAGACGUCGUCGCCUCGAUCGUUGGGCGAUCCAGCACGCGUCGUCCGGCGUGCUUUAUGCACCUGCCGGCUGCUCCCGGGCGUCGGCCUGCGGAGCUCCCCAUUCGCCCGAUUCUUGAAACACGGACCAAGGAGUAUGACAAUGUGUUGCGAGUCAACGGGCCUAGAAAACACGUAAGGCGUAAGGAAAGCUGUUGGCGGGAUCCCUCAGCGGGUGCACCGCCGACCGACUUUUGAUCAUUUUGAGAAGGGUUCGAGUGAGAGAGAUGCCCUGUCGGGACCCGAAAGAAUGGUGAACCUAUGCCUGAGCGGGGCCGAAAGCAGAGGGAAACUCUGGUGGAGGCCCGCAAGCGAUACUGGACGUGCAAAUCAUUCGUCUGACUUGGGUAUAGCGGGCAAAGGAUUCAACUGCGAACCCGUCUAGUAGCUGGUUCCCUCCGAAGUUUCCCUUCAGGAUAGACUGGAGCCCUUAGCGAAGUUCUAUCGGGUAAAGCCAUGAUUAGAGGCAUCGGGGGCGCAACGCCCUCGACCUAUUCUCAAACUUUAAAAUAGGUAGGGACGGCGCGGCUUGCUUCGUUGAGCCGCGCCACGGAAUCGAGAAGCUCCAAGUGGGCCAUUUUUGGUAGGCAGAACUGGCGAUGCGGGAUGAACCGGAAGCCGGGUUAACGGUUGCCAACUGGCGUUAACCUAGAAACCCACAAAGUGGUGUUGGUCGAUUUAAGACAGCAGGACGGGUGUCAUGGAAGUCGAAAUCCCUAAGAGAGUGUGUAACAAACUCCACUGCCAGAAUAACUAGCCCCGAAAAUGGAUGGCGCUUAAGCGCAGCGACCUAAUACCCGGCCGUCGGGGCAAGGGCCAGGCCCUCGAUGAGUAGGAGGGCGCGGCGGUUCGCGCAAAACCCGGGCGCGAGCCCGGGCGGUAGACGGGCGUCGGUGCAGAUCUUGGUGGUAGUUAGCCAAAUAUUCAAAUGAGAACUUUGAAGGCCGAAGAGGAAAGGUUCGCAUCGUGAACGCAACUUGCACAUGGUUAGUCCGAUCCAUAAGAGACGGGAAGACCCGUCCGAUAGCCGCGUUCAGCGCGAGCUGUCGAAAGCGCGACACUCGGGUUAAAAUUCCUGAACCGGGACGCGCACUGACAGGCAACGUUAGGGAGUCCGGAUGACGGUCGGCGGGGCCUCGGGAAGAGUUAUCUUUUCUGUUUAACGGCCUGCCCAGCCCUGGAAACGGCUCAGCCGGAGGUAGGGUCCAGCGGGCCGGAAGAGCACCGCACGUCGCGUGGUGUCCGGUGCCGCCCCGGCGGCCCUUGAAAAAUCCGGAGGACGAGUGCCGACACCCUGCGCCCGGUUGCGUUACUCAUAACCGCAUCAGGUCUCCAAAGGUGAAACAGCCUCUGGUCAAUGGAAACAAUGUAGGCAAGGGAAGUCGGCAAAAUGGAUCGCGUAACUCAGGGAAAAGGAUUGCUCUGAGGCUGGGCACGGGGUCCAGUCCCGAACCGUCGCGACUGCCGGGUGCAACUGCUCGAGCUGCUGCCGCUCGGAGGCCGGAGCGGGUCGCCGCGUGCCGGUCGGGGGUACGGACUGGGAACGGCUCCCUUCGGGGGCCUUCCCCGGGCGACGACAGUCGACUCAAAACUGGUACGGACAAGGGGAAUCCGACUGUUUAAUUAAAACAAAGCAUUGCGAGGUCCCCUGCGGAUGCUCACGACAAUUGUUAGAUUUCUGCCAGUGCUCUGAAUGUCAAAGUGAAGAAAUUUCAACCAAGCGCGGGUAAACGGCGGGAGCUAAACUAUGACUCUCUUAAGGUAGCAAAAAAUGGCCUCCGUUUUCAUCUAUUAAAGUGACGCGCAUGAAUGGAUUAACGAGAUUCCCCACUGUCCCUGUCCUACUAUCUCACGAGAACGCGAAACCACAGCAGGGAGACGGCCUUUGCAGAAUCAGCGGGAAGAAGACCUGUGAGCUUACUCUAGUGUCACGGACUUAGAUUUUUCCCACAGCAAUCCGUGUGGCUAUUAGGCGCUUCUUUGCUCCAAAAACGCCUAAAGUCAGCCUAUUUCCCAACAAAAAUGAGGAUUCAAACAGAAUUUCCUUAAGGCAACCAACAGCAAAAGCGGAAGAAACUCAAGAUGAACGAAUUGAAAAAUUUCAAAAGAACAAAAGAGAGAGAGUUUUGAGUGAAUGCUCUCAAAGAAAUUCUUAUCACUUUCAAAAGAAUGAAGUGUUUCUACAAUGAGGGGAAGAGGCUCUAAUAUUAUAGUUGAGCCUCCCCAAAAUCAACGGUACAAUUCAAAGUACAUCAACGGCUUAAGAUUUUGAAAAGUAUCUACAAAAAGAAAUCUUUAAGAUUACAAUCAAAUCUCUAAGAUCACCAAGAGAUCAUAUCUUCUAAGGAUUUACCUAUCUUGAAGAUUAACAUUCCAUAUUUGCCAAAUUUUGUAUGAUGGACCAUCAAUUCGUCUCCAAGUACUGCCAGUCCGCGAUUGGGCCAAAAGACCUCCCUUGAACUCCGAUGGAUCACUUAAUGUGCCAUGUUGCCGGCUUCCAUUACGCACCAUGACAUUCUCGCCGCCACCGAAUCUAGCGAACAGUCCUCGUUGCGUCCUUUGCAUUGGAACUUGGUCGAAUCUUGUCUUGGAAUUGCCACAAGGCCUCGGCAGGUUCCCAAACUUGUCUCACUUUCGGGAAAUCCUUUCCAUCGAACUAAAUAUUCAUGCCCGC
rnacentral:rRNA from 1 species